UCACCGAAAAGGCAAAAUCCGGGGGACCGGAUGACGCAAAGCCACCUACCCGGAACGGGAAGAGGGGUUACCGAA
rfam:Geobacteraceae bacterium GWC2_53_11 gwc2_scaffold_186, whole genome shotgun sequence.